UAGUGAUUAGGAGUGUCGCGACGGAGAGCGUCGAAGGGAAGGAGUGAGCCUACCUGGAGUCUCCGUCGCAGUAGUUAAUACUAAAUUAUGAACCUUUAGGACGGAAAAUGGUUACAUUUGGACAUUUUUUGAAUGUGGAUGAGUCGGCCUUUAGGGAUCGCAGAGAUCCAAUUCGAAGGCGAUAUCUUAUCGACUAAUAGGUGAUGACCACAAGGAAACAGGAUUUAAAGUCCGGCAACAGGUAUUAAGACAUUGGCCUCGAGUGACGUAACUCAAACGAAAUCGGAUAUGCCCAUGAUGGAACCGGGGACAAAUUUUUUUCGUUAGGAAUUCUUUUGUUCCUGGAAGAAUAUCUUGCCGAGAUAAGGACGUGGUUUCGUAAGAGCAUUUCAUUUCUCGAGAAUGUUCGGGAUCUUUCUACCAGCUCUUGGAAAUCUGAAGGAGAGAGUGUAAUUUUCAUCCCAAUCCGUACCCAUAUCCGCAGCAGUCGGCAACGUGAACCGCCAAUAGUCUAUGGAACAAUUUUGAUAUAAGAAGUCUGCAGUUUCGAUCCGUAACUUCGGGAUAAAUUUUGGCUCUGAAGUUAGGGCAGCGGUAGGAAGCGCUGAGUUUCGCUCGUGCGGACUGGGAGGUAGGUCCAUCCUCGCGUGGAGAAACGGCGUAGAAUGGAUCAGCGAGGCGGUGGAUUCAGAUCGAGCGUGUGGGACCGUUUUGGGGGGGGGGGGGGGGGGUGCUUGACGGCCUAAUCGAAACUGGCACGAGCUAGGAGAAUAGGAUUCUCUUAAUUAAAGCACUACGAUCAGUGUUGACGCAAUGUGAUAUGUGUCCAGUGCUCUGAAUGUCAAGAUGAAGAAUUUCAUCGGAGCUCGGAUAAAACGGCGAGACUAACUAUU